GAUAUGGGGGGGAACCUUGAAAUAUGAUAACGGACUAUGCCACCAGCAUGUCUCUGGAACCUAUGAUCAGGCAAGGUUCUAAAGUACGUAGUCUGUGUCAAUGGAGAUGUCACAAUGUCUAUUUCCCUUUGAAGGAAGGAUGCAUGCGCCCAAGCUCCAGGGAAGAGAUCUUCGCACAGCACCACAGUGCUCACGUGCAACACUACAUGGCCACAGAAUGAAGCACGUGGAGAGAAAAGCAUCCAGCGAGGGAGAAAGAGCAGGAGUACAGCUCAGUGCUGGGCCAACUGGUGCUUACUUUUGUCUCUAACUGCUUUUAUGAGCUUUACACAGUUUGCAACAUUAAAGGGCUGUACCUGGGUGGCAAUGGCUCUGGCUGUCUUCCGGUUGUCCCCCGUGAUCAGAACCACGUCCACACCCAUGCUUUGCAGCGUGUGCACAGCCAGGGCAGCCUCCUGCUUGACAGCGUCUGCGAUAGCGAUCAUCCCACAGAGCACACCUGGAGCAAACCAGCCAGCAUCAGCAGCUACACAAGUUGGGGCACCCCGCACCAAGAUACCACACUUGCAAUGUUCUCAUCAUAUAAUAUUAUGUGCAAAAAACAAAACAUCAAAUUAUAUAA